CCUACGGGUGGCUGCAGUGGGGAAUAUUGCACAAUGGGGGAAACCCUGAUGCAGCGACGCCGCGUGAGUGAAGAAGUAUCUCGGUACGUAAAGCUCUAUCAGCAGGGAAGAAAAUGACGGUACCUGACUAAGAAGACCCGGCUAACUACGUGCCAGCAGCCGCGGUAAUAAGGAGGGGGCAACCGUUAUCCUGAUUUUCUGGGUGUUAAGGGGGCGUAGACGGAAGUACAAGUCAGGAGUGAAAUCACGGGGCUUAACCCCGGAACUGCUUUGGAAACUGUUGGGCUGGAUAGCAGGAGGGGUAAGCGGAAUGUAUAGUGUAGCGGUGAAAUGCGUAGAUAUUAGGAGGAACACCGGUGGCGAAGGCGGCUUACUGGACUAUAACUGACGUUGAGGCACGAAAGCGUGGGGAGCAAACAGGAUUAGAUACCCUAGUAGUC
rnacentral:rRNA from 1 species